rnacentral:rRNA from 1 species
GGAUAACCCGGGGGAACUCGGGCUAAUACCGCAUAAUCUCUAUGCAAAGCGGGGGAUCUUUUGCCCUCGUGCUAUAAGAUGAGCCUACGUCGGAUUAGCUUGUUGGUGGGGUAAUGGCCUACCAAGGCGACGAUCCGUAGCUGGUCUGAGAGGACGAUCAGCCACACUGGGACUGAGACACGGCCCAGACUCCUACGGGAGGCAGCAGUGGGGAAUAUUGGACAAUGGGGGAAACCCUGAUCCAGCAAUGCCGCGUGUGUGAAGAAGGCCUUCGGGUUGUAAAGCACUUUCGGUGGGGAAGAAAUUCUCAAGGGUAAUAUCCUUGGGCGUUGACGUUACCCACAGAAGAAGCACUGGCUAACUCUGUGCCAGCAGCCGCGGUAAUACAGAGAGUGCAAGCGUUAAUCGGAAUCACUGGGCGUAAAGCGCGCGUAGGUGGAUAUUUAAGUCGGAUGUGAAAGCCCUGGGCUUAACCUGGGAAUUGCACCCGAUACUAGGUAUCUUGAGUAUGGUAGAGGGAAGUGGAAUUUCCGGUGUAGCGGUGAAAUGCGUAGAUAUCGGAAAGAACACCAGUGGCGAAGGCGACUUCCUGGACCAAUACUGACACUGAGGCGCGAAAGCGUGGGGAGCAAACAGGAUUAGAGACCCUGGUAGUCCACGCCGUCAACGAUGAGAACUAGCUGUUGGGAAGUUCCCUUCUUAGUAGCGAAGCUAACGCGUUAAGUUCUCCGCCUGGGGAGUACGGCCGCAAGGUUAAAACUCAAAGAAAUUGACGGGGGCCCGCACAAGCGGUGGAGCAUGUGGUUUAAUUCGAUGCAACGCGAAAAACCUUACCUACCCUUGACAUCCUCGGAACUUGUCAGAGAUGAUUUGGUGCCUUCGGGAACCGAGUGACAGGUGCUGCAUGGCUGUCGUCAGCUCGUGUCGUGAGAUGUUGGGUUAAAGUCCCGUAACGAGCGCAACCCCUCGUCCUUAGUUGCCAGCGAGUCAGUCGGGAACUCUAACGAGACUGCCGGUGAUAAACCGGAGGAAGGUGGGGAUGAUGUCAAGUCAUCAUGGCCCUUCCGGGUAGGGCUACACACGUGCUACAAUGGGCAGUACAAAGGGUUGCCAACCCGCGAGGUGGAGCUAAUCCCAGAAAACUGCUCGUAGUCCGGAUUGGAGUCUGCUACUCGACUCCAUGAAGUUGGAAUCGCUAGUAAUCGCGAAUCAGAAUGUCGCGGUGAAUACGUUCUCGGGCCUUGUACACACCGCCCGUCACACCAUGGGAGUG